AUUGAACGCUGGCGGCAUGCCUUACACAUGCAAGUCGAACGGCAGCACGGGGGCAACCCUGGUGGCGAGUGGCGAACGGGUGAGUAACAUAUCGGAACGUGCCCUGGAGUGGGGGAUAACUAGUCGAAAGACUAGCUAAUACCGCAUACGAUCUACGGAUGAAAGUGGGGGAUCGCAAGACCUCAUGCUCGUGGAGCGGCCGAUAUCUGAUUAGCAGUUGGUGGGUAACGGCUCACCAAGGCGACGAUCAGUAGCUGGUCUGAGAGGAUGAUCAGCCACAUUGGGACUGAGACACGGCCCAAACUCCUACGGGAGGCAGCAGUGGGGAAUAUUGGACAAUGGGCGCAAGCCUGAUCCAGCCAUGCCGCGUGAGUGAUGAAGGCCCUAGGGUUGUAAAGCUC
rnacentral:rRNA from 1 species